rnacentral:rRNA from 1 species
GUAGUGGCGAACGAAAAGGGAGAAGCCCAGCGCAUAACCUCUCGGGCCACCCGGCCUGCAGCGGAAUUUUGCGUAAAGGGAACGAUCAUGCACUCGUGCUCACGCACGGGUGUCUGCCCAAUGGCACAUAGCAUUCGACCUAAGUCCAGGGGUGAAACUCUGCCGAGUGACUAGUUUGCUCUACUUCUCCAUGGAGGGUGAAAGACCCGUGUGGCGAAUGCAUAGUGUCUGGGUUUGAUUGUUUUCCCUGAGAGUCGCGUUGCUUGAGCAUGCAGCGCAAAGCAGGACGUAGACUCGUCCUAAGGCUAAAUAUUUCCACAGAACCGAUAGCGAACAAGUACCGUGAGGGAAAGUUGAAAAGGACUCUGAAGAGAGAGUUAAAAGACCGUGAAACCGUACAGGGCAGAGACUGAUGGAUUUGGCUUUCCGGUGGCAAUGAGAGGGAUGUGUGUACUACUUUGUGGUACCGUCCCUCUCUGUGUGAGGUUGGCUUAUAUGGAAGACAGUGGAAAUGUGUUCAGUGAAACGACAGUUUUGCAAAGCUGUGUGACGGUUGUAACACAGCAAUGAGCCACAAACGCACGGGGUUUUGGUG